CGUGUAGGCGGUCUAUCGAGUCAGAUGUGAAAGCCCAGGGCUCAACCCUGGAAGUGCAUUUGAUACUGCCAUGCUUGAGUAUGGGAGAGGAGAGCGGAAUUCCCAGUGUAGAGGUGAAAUUCGUAGAUAUUGGGAGGAACACCCGUGGCGAAGGCGGCUCUCUGGACCAAUACUGACGCUGAGACGCGAAAGCGUGGGGAGCAAACAGGAUUAGAUACCCUGGUAGUCC
rnacentral:rRNA from 1 species